ensembl:lncRNA
GUUAGAGCCUAGAAGUGGUUAAAAUUAUGCUCACGGCCGUCUCGCGGGGGGGCAGACACCAAAUGACGUAACGAACGAAUCAAAUAAACGAAUCGUUAUAGUGAACUGAAAGAACUAAUUCCCGGAAAAGAAUCAUCUUGCCCAUCCCUACAAUUAACUAACCAAGAAAACCACUUGGCAGGCGAGCUGCGGCAGGUUGACUUGCGGUGCUGAUCCCAGAGCUGGACCUUGUGAUCUCAUUGGUUGGUUCGGUCAGCAGUAGCUUCCUGGCGCUAAUUUUCCCACCGUUACUGGAGAUGCUGACCUUCCAUACGGAUGGGCUCUCACCAUUGGUGAUCACAAAGAACGUGAUCAUCAGCGGUGUGGGCUGAUCGGGUUUGCCACGGGAACCUACAGCGCGAUCAUGGAGCUUAUCAUACGCAACAACCCCCCGCACAGCCAGAACCUCUCCCCCUCCUACAUGCUGCAGUAAACCAUGAAAUGGAAAGGGGUUUGAAAGGGUGGGGACCUUACAAACUCAAGCCAGCCAAUUUUAUUAGCCGGGUCACAACUCAUUUUAUCUGUUGGUUAUUGUGUACAAAACUGCUGGAUUUUUUUUAAUUGUGGUGGUUUUAUUGCAUAGUUUUUUUAUUGUUUUUUAAUCAUUUUAACGCUGUAAAACGACAUGAACUGCUACCAGGUCCAAUAGUGCAAUACUUAAAUGGAAAUGUUUCAUGCCAAAUACAUUAGCUAAAUAUAGAUUAAAAAAUUCAUUUUGAUGCAUUUAUUCUUUAGCAGUAUGAGUUUUUAGUUGCCUGACUUUUAAACUUUGUACUGUAACACAUGAGAGUCAAAAUGUGAUGUAGGCCUACCUCCCACAGUUCUAUCAUAACCCCAUAUUGGUAAUGCUAUGAACAUGACUAAUAUGGUAGUUUAAACUUUACAACUCAUAUCAAACUGUCUAUGUUUUGUUAAUACUGCGGACGAUUUUUGUCCUUCCCCCCUCGUAUUUUCUUGUUGCACUUUUAAUCAAGUGCGUUUUCUUUUAUGGAGUAUCCUCUAUUCGUACGCAGGACAUCUUGUGUAAAAAACAGUCAAACCUGCUAAAGUAAAUUUAGUUUUUACAGUAACGGUAAAGAAAAAAAUAAUUUGCCUUUGAACCUUGAAUUGUUAUUUUUUUAAGCGAAUUUGAUGGGUUCAUGUUUUUGUUAUAUUUCUGUUUUUUUUUUUUUAACAAACCAAAUUUGUUAUCAAUUGUUGGUGUGGGCAUCAUUUGAACAGCAGUUAAUUUGUUUUUUUUUAUCUUGGAUGUAAUGCUGCUGGACAGAAUCAUACAGAAAGUGCCUCCAGUCAAACAUACACCUAGGUAGUAACUGUCAACGCCACUUAUUAAGGUUAGCCAACAUUUAUUAAGGUUAGAAGUUAUAAUUUUUUAUGGUAGGACUUUACAUUCUGCAUUCUCUGACAGUUUUUAAGCCACACAAUACCAUUUAAAUCCAGGCUAAUUGAUGAUUCAGUACGGUAAUAGAAGCUGGAAGGUCAAGGAUGUGGUUUUUAUAUUAAAAGUGGGAACCUCUUUUCAAUGUAGAUCAACUGCUGUGUGCAUUACCAAGGAAGCUCCUCCCAUCCAUACUGGCUUGAACCUUUUGCUUUAAAUUGCAGUUGAAAAUAGUAUAAGUCAUUUUUUAUGUAGACAGUUGGUGUUGAUUCUAGUUUAGUGUUCAGUGUAUUUUUGCAAUUUGAAUAGAAUGUAUUUCCUUUUUCUGUCAUGCACAGCAAUGUAGAGCAUAGGGUGAUUGCAUCCUAAUGGAGCCUUUCACAUACCAAACCGGAAACAAAAACGGAAGCAAAGCAAAGAAAAACUAAUCUUGCCACUAGGCUAAUAUAAGGGGCCAAAUAUAUUAAUAUAUGUUUUUGACGUAAUUGAUAAAACAUAGAAAACAAAUUCAUCGUUAAUUAUGUUAAAUAAAAAAUAACCCUUUAAAUGGGUACUUCUGGUGAGAUUUUUUUGGGGAAAAUUUAGUUUGAGCAUCCAAAUAUGGCAUAACAUCCAACAGAGUCAAGGUAUCUGCUUUGUAUCUUUCUUUUUUGUUGCAAUUACUAUUAUUUUUUGCAGUGCCGCUGCAGGGUAAACACUGCAAGUAUUCAAUAGAUAAACAUGUUAAAUUAUGUCUUUGUGUGUCUGUGCAUAGUGCGUGUACCAUCUGCCAUCUGCCAGAAGGCACUAGACUCCCAGACAGUCACUCCUUUCAAAAUCCUUACCAAACAGUUCUAUGUUAAACCCUGCAGUUCUAUGUUAAUCCAAAGGCCAGGGACAGUUUCAUGCGGCAAAGUGAUUGACACUGACAUAUUACACUUCCUGGGUGCCAUUUUGAAUGUGUGUAGAACAUCUACUUUCUAACUCUCAAGUCAAUUAUAUUUGUACAGCCCUAACACAAAGGCCAAGCGGAGGCACGGACCAAAAAUUACUUGGCGAUUGGAGGUUUGCGAUGACAUCAAGCAGCUGUUUCUAUUUCCGACCGUCUUGUUUGUCGUUGGUUUUUAUUCAAAAUAAAAAUAUUCAUGAACAUUUAAAAGUAGCCUAGUCUAGAUAGACACAGUCCUUCGGGCAAGAGAAUAAACAACAACCUGUUUACCACCUCAAGUGUCUUAACCUAUCCUAUCCCCAGUCAGACCUGUGUGUGUGUGUAUGUGUAUAUGUGUAAGGUCUGCCUUGUAUUCAUUUGCAAUAACUUGAAUGGAACUUUUGACAUUUGGGGAUAAGCAGCAUAGCAGUCAGGUAGCUAUUUAAAGCUAUAAUAAACCGCGUAUUUUGUUUAUUUAGGUAAAGCAUUAUGAAAUAGUUUGCAUGCACAAUAAAGCAUACACAUAAAUUUGGCGUGCAGCAUUUUCAUUUUUCCUCUGGGCUAAGCCCCGGAUGUUUAUGAAACAUAGAAAUCCCCACCCAAAUCUAUUCUCUUA